GUAGGUGGCAAGCGUUGUCCGGAAUUAUUGGGCGUAAAGCGCGCGCAGGCGGUUCUUUAAGUCUGAUGUGAAAGCCCACGGGCUCAACCGUGGAGGGUCAUUGGAAACUGGAGAACUUGAGUACAGAAGAGGAAAGCGGAAUUCCACGUGUAGCGGUGAAAUGCGUAGAGGUGUGGAGGAACACCAGUGGCGAAGGCGGCCUUCUGGUCUGUAACUGACGCUGAGGCGCGAAAGCGUGGGGAGCAAACAGGAUUAGAUACCCUGGUAGUCCACGCCGUAAACGAUGAGUGCUAAGUGUUAGGGGGUUUCCGCCCCUUAGUGCUGCAGCUAACGCAUUAAGCACUCCGCCUGGGGAGUACGGCCGCAAAGGCUG
rnacentral:rRNA from 1 species